rnacentral:rRNA from 1 species
CAGUCGACGCUUUGUGGUCCAACUGAUUUGAAGAGCUUGCUCAGAUAUGACGAUGGACAUUGCAAAGAGUGGCGAACGGGUGAGUAACACGUGGGAAACCUACCUCUUAGCAGGGGAUAACACUUGGAAACAAGUGCUAAUACCGUAUAACACUAAUAACCGCAUGGUUAUUAGUUAAAAGAUGGUCUUGCUAUCACUAAGAGAUGGUCCCGCGGUGUAUUAGCUAGUUGGUAAGGUAAUGGCUUACCAAGGCAAUGAUACAUAGCCGAGUUGAGAGACUGAUCGGCCACAAUGGGACUGAGACACGGCCCAUACUCCUACGGGAGGCAGCAGUAGGGAAUCUUCCACAAUGGACGAAAGUCUGAUGGAGCAACGCCGCGUGUGUGAUGAAGGGUUUCGGCUCGUAAAACACUGUUGUAAGAGAAGAAUGACAUUGAGAGUAACUGUUCAGUGUGUGACGGUAUCUUACCAGAAAGGAACGGCUAAAUACGUGCCAGCAGCCGCGGUAAUACGUAUGUUCCAAGCGUUAUCCGGAUUUAUUGGGCGUAAAGCGAGCGCAGACGGUUAUUUAAGUCCGAAGUGAAAGCCCACAGCUUAACUGUGGAAGUGCUUUGGAAACUGGAUAACUUGAGUGCAGUAGAGGAGAGUGGAACUCCAUGUGUAGCGGUGAAAUGCGUAGAUAUAUGGAAGAACACCAGUGGCGAAGGCGGCUCUCUGGACUGUAACUGACGUUGAGGCUCGAAAGUGUGGGUAGCAAACAGGAUUAGAUACCCUGGUAGUCCACACCGUAAACGAUGAGU